AUGGCGAGGGAUAAUGGAGACGGGCUGGCGGCGAUUGCCGGGCGGAUCGGCGUGCUCGGGUCCAUCGCGCUGAACAUCGCGGCGCUGGCGAUCUACCUCCGUGGCCGCGCCGCCGCCGAGAAGCAGGCCAGCAAGAAGGUGAAGAAGGCGGCGGCUGUGGCGCCGUCCUCCGGCAAGCCGCCCGUCGCGUGUGAUUCGGUCAUCAACUUGGAUCACGGUGAUCCAACGAUGUUUGAGACGUUUUGGCGCGGACCGAUUGGCGAAAGUGCUACGUUGGUGAUUCCAGGGUAUCAAACGAUGAGUUACUUCUCCGACGUCGGCAACCUCUGCUGGUUCCUCGAGCCAGGCUUCGAGCGUGAGGUGCGCCGCCUCCACAGCCUCGUCGGCAACGCCGCCGUCGAGGGCUACCACGUCCUUGUCGGCACCGGGUCCUCGCAGCUCUUCCAGGCCGCACUCUACGCGCUCGCCUUGCCCAUUGCCGACGCGCCAGUCAGCGUCGUAUCAACUACCCCCUUCUACUCCAUGUACCCGCCCUUGACGGACUUCCUCAACUCGGGGCUCUACCGAUGGGCCGGCGACGCCAACGCAUUCGAUGGCAACGACUACAUUGAGGUCAUAUGCUCACCGAACAACCCCGACGGCAGCAUCCGCGAGGCCGUCCUCAAGUCCAAAUCCGGCAAGGACAUCCACGACCUGGCUUACUACUGGCCGCAGUACACUCCCAUCACCCACAUGCUCGCCCAUGACAUCAUGCUCUUCACCGUGUCAAAGUGUACGGGCCACGCCGGCACGAGGAUAGGGUGGGCGUUGGUGAAGGACAAGGAGGUGGCACAGAAAAUGAGCAAGUUCAUGGAGCAAAGCACCAUAGGCGUGUCCAAGGACGCGCAGCUACGCGCCGCCAAGGUACUCGGGGCGGUCACCGAUGGCUACGAGCACCAGCUUGCCGCCGCUGCCGGUGGGGACGCGAACCUCCUCUUCCAUUACGCGCGGCGGAAGAUGGCGCACCGCUGGUGUGCACUCCGUGCUGCCGUAGCAGCCUCCGGCAUCUUUAGCCUCCCCAACGAGGUGGCCGGCUUCUGCACCUUCACCAAGGACACUGUCACCUCUAAUCCUGCAUUCGCAUGGCUGCGCUGUGAGAAGCAAGAAGUGGAAGACCUAGAGAGCUUCUUGCGUGAGAACAAGAUCAUAACCCGCAGCGGGACUAAGUUCGGAGCUGAUCAAAAGGUGGUCAGGAUCAGUAUGGUCGACACUGAUGAAGCAUUCGGCAUAUUCGUCAAUCGCCUUGCCACCAUAAAAUGA
rnacentral:rRNA from 1 species